AUCGAGACAAAGCAAAAUAUAUUGUGGCAAAUUCUGCAGUUCAGAGUCGUGACAGAGUCAGAGCCUCCUAUUGCAGUGCGGGAGCCUUCUGCUUGUCUCCCCGCUGCCUAGGAUGCAGGGGCUUCCGAGCGGGGUUAAAUAGAAAUAAUACAGUAAAUAUACAGUUUCAAAAGUCCUUCAGGACAUGCAGCAAACGCCGGUGAUUCGGACUGGGUGAAGUUGUCAAAGGUUGCUUUGCUCUCCAGAGCCUGGCAGUAGCUCCACUGAAAUGUGAUGCCAUUGGUUUUCAGCAAAGGUUUCUUUCUGCAGGGCUGCAAACAGAGAUCAGCUGCUACUGUGUAUACACAACUAGGGAGCAAAUCAAGCAGCACAUUUAAGCAGCCUUUUUAACCCUGAGACUUUCCAAGAUUUCUUCUUCUUCACGCAGGAAGUUUCCUUUAUAUUGUCAGCUCUAGCACUUUGCUCAUGUAAUGAGAUCAGAGCUAGGAUCACUGCUGCACAGUAGAAAGACUUCCUUAAGACAUUUGUCCUUGAAACUGCACCAAACUCUUGGAAGAACCCAGAACCUCUGAGCAGUCUCUGUCAAGCACAGGUCGCAGCUAAAAUGCAUAGGUAGAUGCAGGACAAAUCCAGCUUUCCCUGUUCUUCUGAGCUGCCUUGCCAGACGGAGGGGGCGAUUGCUUGUGCCAGUCAGAAAGCUUUCCCAGGUGGCCAAAGAUCUGCUUUGGAUGUUCUCAAGCACUUCCAUCCUGACAAGGUUGAGCCUCUCCGCUCCCAUCUUUCACCCAAUAUCCCUACAGACUUCAGAAGGCAUGAGCUCCUCUUGCAAAAUGGUGGCUCUCUGUGUGUGGUGUAUCUCACUUUCUCCAGCUUGUCCUUGAAGGAAAGGACCCUCCACUAGGUUCAGGAACAGCCUGGGAGCCUUGAAAAAGAUAUCAAAACUAAGAAAUUUUUAGUAUCGCUGCUUAAACACGUACGUCCCAGAGAAGAGGUGGGACUGCAGAUGUGUGUGACCUUUGUUGUCUCCUACUAGCAGUCUUGGACUGUUCUCUGCUCGGCAAUGGCCACUCAUGACUUUGCUGGCACUGUUCAAGACAAUCGCACAGGCACAGCACCUGAAAGUUGGGUACUGGGAUGCAAAAUUGUUAUUGGUCCUAAAGGUUU
rnacentral:lncRNA from 1 species